UACAGAGGGGGCAAGCGUUAUUCGGAAUUAUUGGGCGUAAAGAGCUCGUAGGCGGCUUGUCACGUCGGUUGUGAAAGCCCGGGGCUUAACCCCGGGUCUGCAGUCGAUACGGGCAGGCUAGAGUUCGGUAGGGGAGAUCGGAAUUCCUGGUGUAGCGGUGAAAUGCGCAGAUAUCGGGAGGAACACCGGUGGCGAAGGCGGCGACCUGGGUAGAUACUGACGCUGAGGUGCGAAAGCGUGGGGAGCAAACAGG
rnacentral:rRNA from 1 species